GCAAUAUCCAUUAAUCAAGAUGUUAUAUGUUAUAGAAUCGGGAACCAUCCCAUUAUCUCUCAUGUCUUUUAUCAUAUCAUCAGCUUCAUCCAUCUUAGCUUCCAAAAAUAAUGCAUGAAUCAACAAGUUAUAAGUAGACACGGUUGGCAAUAUGCCCCUCCCAACCAUCUCAUCCCUAUAACCAAAAGCCUUAUUCAAAUCCCCUUUAUUGCAAUACCCAUCAAUCAAGAUGUUAUAAGUCACAGCAUUUGGUAGUAGUCCAAUUUCUUUCAUUUUCUCAAGCAUCCUAGAUGCCUCCUCCAGUCUUCCCUCCUUACACAUCCCGCUAAUAAGUGAACCAUAUGUAUAUGAAUCAAGCUCCAGCCCCUUACUUUUCAUCACAUCAACAAUCAUUAGAGCACCUUCGACUCUCCCUCUCCAACAAUAUCCAUGAAUUAUUGUGUUAUAUGUAACAACAUUAGGCUUCACCCCUAAACCCUCCAUAAACCCAAUAAACUCCUUUGCCUUCUUUAAUUUCCCUUCCUUGCACAAAACAUUGAUCAUUAUGUUAAAUGUAUACACUGUUGACUUAAUCCUUAAUCUAAACAUCUCUGCAUACAAAACCCAUGCAGUCUGGGUCCGAUUCAACUUCAGAAACAAACUCAACAUAUCAUUACACGUUUCAAUCUUAGGAACUACACCUUUUUCCUUCAUCAUGUUAAAACACUCAAAAGCAUCAUCACCUUUCUUCAGUUCACAGCAAGCUCUUAUCAACAAAUCAAAAAGUACACUACUUUUAGCAUUUAACCGAUCCCGAGCAACUGCCAGUUCAUAAAAAAUAUCCUUAAUGGUAGAAUUGCCACUAGCGAUCGUCUGUUUUAAGAGUUGCAAGGUAGGUUUUGGGGAUGGUGAGCGAGAGAUUACUGCAAUAGCAAGGCAUUUGGUUUUGAUAUCGAGAUUCGUAAAUCCAAUGUGGGUUACAAAUUGAAGAGCUAAAUCCGGUGUUUUGUGGAGAGACGAUAGAGUGGAGGAAAUAAGUGCGGGCGUCAAGUUCCGAGCAAGGUGUUUGACAAAAUGCCACUGAGAAGAUUGUAUUGAAUUAAGCAAAGUCUGACCUGUGCUUACUGGAGGUGAGUCUGUGGAGAAGCUUUGAUAGAGAGUUUCUGUCUGUUGAUGGUCGAUGUUUGAGCAUGGGGUUGAAGAGAGAGGUGCACCGGAGUGACAUUGGUUUGUGAGGAUGAUAGUGGCGAGUUUGAACUUCUGGUGUAAAAGAAUUUGAGAAUUCAGGAGUUUGUGAGGUUUCAUAUUGAGCGGUGAGAAAUUGGGUUUCUUGAUAAUUGGUUGCACAGAUAAAGAAACGUGCAAACAGAUAUUAGGUGAGAGGAACGCACAGGCAGAAAUAGAGCAGAAAUGGCGUCGAGUUAUUAGGGCUUUUUACUGUAUAGGAAUACUGUAGAAUUGGAGAUACCAGAAUUGGGGUGGACUUCAUGAAAAUUAUGGUGAGGGGGUGAGAUGUGAUGAGUUUGACAAAGGAUCAACAAAAAUGCCAUUCAAAAUAGUAUCCGCG
rnacentral:misc_RNA from 1 species